rnacentral:rRNA from 1 species
GACGAACGCUGGCGGCGUGCUUAACACAUGCAAGUCGAACGGAGUGGCGAACGGGUGAGUAACAUGUGGGUGGACUUGCUUGCACUUGGGGGUAAGCUUGGGGAACUGGGUCCAAUACCGGAUAGUGCAAGAUGGGCGCGCGGCCUAUCAGCUUGUUGGUGGGGUAAUGGGCUACCAAGGCGCCGACGGGUAGCCGGCCUGUGAGGGGGUACGGGCACAAUGGGACUGAGGUACGGCCCAGACUCCUACGGGGGGCAGCAGUGGGGAAUAUUGCACAAUGGGCGGAAGCCUGAUGCAGCGACGCCGCGUGGGGGAUGAAGGCCUUCGGGUUGGAAACUCCUUUCGACAGGGACGCGGUACCUGUAUAAGAAGCACCGGCUAACUACGUGCCAGCAGCCGCGGUAAUUC